rnacentral:rRNA from 1 species
AACGGGUGAGUAAUAUAUCGGAACGUACCCAGUAGCGGGGGAUAACGCAGCGAAAGCUGUGCUAAUACCGCAUACGAUCUACGGAUGAAAGCGGGGGACCUUCGGGCCUCGCGCGAUUGGAGCGGCCGAUGUUAGAUUAGGUAGUUGGUGGGGUAAAGGCUCACCAAGCCGACGAUCUAUAGCUGGUCUGAGAGGACGACCAGCCACACUGGAACUGAGACACGGUCCAGACUCC